CCAGGAGGUGCCUUAAGAGAAAGAGCUGUUAAACAUAACACAGUUAAAACAUAAUUAAAAUGCCAUAUUACUCAGUUGCAAACUGUAAAAUCAAAAGUGUUGAAGUUAAUAUAAUGGAGCAAGGGGGAAUUUCGUAUUAUCGGAACAUGCUGAGAAGAUCAGGUUGUUUUAAUGUAUAAAGAUUCCUGAAGUUCCGGUUCAUGGCUUUUACACAAGGGCAAUAAGGAGAAAAGUGUAGAAAUUGAGCUAGACUUCUUUGUGUCACAGCGUCACUGGGACGCUGGUUAGAAUUGUUUGAGACCAAGAGAAAUACCAGAAGAUGAAUUACCGCAUGAUUCUGCCGCUACAGGAACCCCAGCCCCUAACACGAAACCCAGAUGCUCAGAUUGGACUGGAGCCGCUGGAGAAGAAUCAUUAGAGUUUAGAGGCUACUGCUGAAAGAUUCCAGAAUGUGGAACAUUAUUUAGUAAAUUGUAUUGUUCCUAUUGUAUAUAGUAAGAAUUUGGU